AAAUCUGUGUUCACAGGCUGAGAGCGGGUGUCUGUGAUGAGACCCCAUGCUGUGACACGGAUGCAGCACAUUCUUACAUGAAAAGCCCUGGCUGAUGAAAUGACCACAGGAAGACAACAUGGAACCCUCCCAGCACAAUCAGAAGAAGCUUAAUUAAGCUCUGUGGUUAAUUUUAAAGACUUUUUGUCAGAAGCAUGGCAAGGAACUUCAGUCUGGCUUUCAAAAGUGCUGAACACCCAAAACUCCUGCCAAGGUCUCCUGGUAUUACAGGCUAACCACACUGUGCCCUUCAGUCUGUACCCUAGCCAUGUGCUACAAGCCCAUCAUUACCCUGACUGGAUACUUUCUGAAUGCUUAUGAGUGCUUCAACACCCAUAAACACAGUAUUGCAGAGAGGAUGCCAC